rnacentral:rRNA from 1 species
AUUGAACGCUGGCGGCAUGCUUUACACAUGCAAGUCGAACGGUAGAGGGGGCAACCCCUUGAGAGUGGCGAACGGGUGAGUAAUGCAUCGGAACGUGCCCAGUCGUGGGGGAUAACGCAGCGAAAGCUGUGCUAAUACCGCAUACGAUCUCUGGAUGAAAGCGGGGGACCGAAAGGCCUCGCGCGAUUGGAGCGGCCGAUGUCAGAUUAGGUAGUUGGUGGGGUAAAGGCCUACCAAGCGAACGAUCUGUAGCUGGUCUGAGAGGACGACCAGACAUACUGGGACUGAGACACGGCCCAGACUCCUACGGGAGGCGGUAGUGGGGAAUUUUGGACAAUGGGCGCAAGCCUGAUCCAGCAAUGCCGCGUGCAGGAAGAAGGCCUUCGGGUUGUAAACUGCUUUUGUACGGAACGAAACGGUCUGGGUUAAUACCCUGGGCUAAUGACGGUACCGUAAGAAUAAGCACCGGCUAACUACGUGCCAGCCGCCGCGGUAAAAC